ACCAGACAAAGAUCUAUCCACAGUCAACACCAUUUAUUUGCUCAAUACUUGCACUUAACACAAUGAAAUAUAAGCUAGCUUUACAUUAUCCAAGAUUUCCAAUCAAAUGCCCAGUUUAACCUCGGGCAUUUACAUGCAUUACAUGGUACAGACUUGUAAGCGUGUCACUCCAUCUCAAUAUAGUACACGAGAGCUAUUUAUUUAUCAGGACGCCGUUGGCUUGGGCAACCUCUUCGCGAUUUCCUGUCACAUGAACAAAAUAUUAUUAGGUGUGUGUUGACAACAAAAAUUAAGUACACAUAUGAAGCUUAAUGAAAAGUUAACACAAGGGAAUCAUUUGGAAAAAAAUAUGUAUGUCAUACUGUUUGCCAAAAUUCAACUGAGAACGAGCAUAUCAAAAUGAGAUGGUCGGAUCCAGGGUUAGCAGCAUCCAAGGUAGCGAGGAAAUCGCAAAUCUCUUUCGCUAUGAGAGCCCCAGGCACACGAGCCAAUGCUCUGGGUGCGACAACCAUAUCACCUACAGGAACCAUGUGCCCAAUGGACUCGGACGAGCAAGACAUUGCAAUGUCGGAAUCCCCCUUCUCCUCGAAGUCGAGCAUCUGGCUGGGCUCGAGGGGUGGUAAUGGCGGUAAUGCCACAGCCGAUAUCUCGAGGGGGUCCACCUUCAGUUGCUCGACGGACAGAGGUGGAGUCAACUCCCCACACAGCUCCAGAAGCUCGGGCAUGAUCUGUAGCACCGGAGCCACAACCACAUCAAUGCACGAACCCUCAGAGGCAGAUAACGGUGAUCCGACCCCAGCACGGAGAGAAACGUCCAUGAAGCCCAUCUCCAUUCUCGUCCUCAAGGUUGACAUCAGACACAAUCAGGGGGCGCUGCAUAGGAGCAGUUUGCAACACAGGUGACACCUGCGAGAGCCCACUCAGAACAGCCUCAGCUCGCUCAAGAAAGUUCCCCAUAUGAAGCAUCCAACCUUGCAUGGAGCCAACGACAUCGCGCAGAGGUUGAACCGUUUCCUCGAGUCGAAAGGAAGCCAUGUUGAGGAGCUCAGAGCGCAGCAGCUCCGCUUGUCCCUCCAUGGUGGACCGCAACGACACAUCUGCCAUGGCCACAAAGGCAACAGUAGAAGAAACAAUGGAUGUCCAAGAAUCACGACGAAACGUCUUGGAAAGGAGUGGGGCUUCUAUCUUGGCUUGGCGAGGAGCUGGAGCUUCACGAUGCUCGGUGACGGGGCACAGGUCAAAGGCGAUGUGGCAAGACUUGCCAACAAGCUGCGCGGACGCCAGGCGUUGCGACAUCCGCGGGCGCAGUGGCCAUUCUCAAGGCACCGAGAGCACCUACACGGGUCUCUGCAAUCCGCUGCACGAUGCCCAUGAAAAAGGCAUCUACAACAUCGACCACGAAGCCAAGCCGGAAGGGGGCGAGGAGCCACUACAGGAGCCGACGGCGUUGAAUGACGCGGGCCUCGCCGCGGCAAAACCUUCCGCCAACCCCCACAAGCCUCUGCCUCAUGCACCACGCACGGCCGAGAGGGCAGAACUGAGCAUUUGGCAGCCGAUGUUGGUGUUCGCGGGACUAUGUCUCCUCAAGGAGAAGGCCAUCAGGGAUAAGAAAAGUGGUGGUGCUAGCUCUCGUCCUGUCGUCUUGGAAGGAGAAAUCAAACAAGUGCAGAAGCAAGAAGAGUGGCGCUAUAGAAAAGGCGUCGGCGGUUGCUUGAUGGAUAGCUCUGAGUGUUUGGACAUGUCAUCACGGGUGUGCUCGGGUCCAUGGCCUUUGCCGAUGUUGGGUCCUCUAUUUACCUUCGAUAUGUGGGGGCUCACUUGUGAAGUUGAAUUUCAUGUGCAAGCGGAUUGUAGGGGUGGCGUGAUGGGGGAGUUUGUCUUUCUUUGUGGUCUUGUGGUCUUAUGAUUUGGGAGUAGUCCGCUUGUAUCAUGGGAUUGUGGCUUGGUUGUCCUUCAGGGCCAAGCAUGUAACGGUUUUUGCCCGGUUUUCCAUAAAUUAACCAGGCAGCUCUCUUCUUCUUAAUCAAUGAAUGAGGCAAAGCUUUUGCCUUCGUUUCAAAAAAAAAAGAUGGUCAUGGAUUGACAUUGAUGAUCUGAUGCAGUUUUUUCCCAUUUGAUGAUUGACAAUGAUUUGUUUCACAAGAAACUUUAAAAUUCAAGGAAUUCAAGGGUUUGUAAUGUUGCUAGCUUGAUUAUUUUGCAAGAAUACCACUAGCAAUUAUCAGUAGGGUUUGUUAUGUGCUAGCUUUAUUUGUUCCGUUUCCUCUUCUGCAUUAUGUGAAACCAAAUAGCCUCCUCAGAGGGCAUACCUCAAAUACUUGAUUUAUAUUAUCAGAUGUUUUUGCGGACGUCUCCAUGAAUAACAUGCUGUUCUUCUCUGCAUACUCUUGUGCCUCCUUCAGAAAGUUACAGCAUCAUCAGAUAAUUUUACAGCACAUUAAGUAUUUAUUUCAACUUCACCGUGAAGUGUAAAACAGUACCUGAGAAGGUACACUACGACUUUCAUGUAGAUCAGCUUUAUUACCAACCAAAACCAUGACAAUACCAGG
rnacentral:lncRNA from 1 species